CGGGGGGUCCUAGCGUUGCUCGGAAUCAUUGGGCGUAAAGCGGGUGUAGGUGGCUUAGUAAGUCAGGAGUGAAAGCCCUGGGCUCAACCCAGGAAGUGCUCUUGAAACUGCUUUUGCUUGAGUGUAGGAGAGGGCAGUAGAAUUCCAGGUGUAGUGGUGAAAUACGUAGAUAUCUGGAGGAAUACCUGAGGGGAAGCCGGCUGCCUGGCCUAACACUGACACUCAGACCCGAAAGUGUGGGGGAUCAAACAGGAUU
rnacentral:rRNA from 1 species